UAUUGCGAUGGAGGGACGCAGGAGUGACACUGCCGCCACGAGACGGAAUUCGUGGUUAAAGGGUGUAGGGAAACCGAAGCCCGACAGUACCGCAAGGCCCCGGCCGAGCGGAUAGUGCAGGUAAUCAAGCUGCCUAGAAAAGCUCCUAAGCUUCAGAUACAAAUACCAGUACCGUAAACCGACACAGGUGGUCGAGGAGAGUAUCCUAAGGCGCUCGAGUGAUUCACAGCUAAGGAACUCGGCAAAUUCGUCCUGUAACUUCGGGAGAAGGGACGCCUACCCUCGCGAGAGGGAGGCCGCAGUGAAGAGGCCCAGGCGACUGUUUAGCAAAAACACAUGGCUUUGCGAAUUCGAAAGACGACGUAUAAGGCCUGACACCUGCCCGGUGCUGGAAGGUUAAGAGGGGGGGUCAUCCGCAAGGUGAAGCUCUGAAUCGAAGCCCCAGUAAACGGCGGCCGUAACUAUAACGGUCCUAAGGUAGCGAAAUUCCUUGUCGGGUAAGUUCCGACCUGCACGAAUGGUGUAACGAUCUGGGCACUGUCUCGGCUGUGAGCUCGGUGAAAUUGUACUGCCGGUGAAGAUGCCGGCUACCCGCAAUGGGACGAAAAGACCCCGUGAACCUUCACUACAGCUUUGCAUUGACAACGGGCCAGGGAUGUGUAGGAUAGGUGGGAGGCUGCGAACCGGUAUCGCCAGGUAUCGGGGAGCCAGCGGUGAAAUACCACCCUUCCCUCGCUUGUUGCCUAACCCCGCGAGGGAGACAGUGCAUGGCGGGUAGUUUGACUGGGGUGGUCGCCUCCAAAAGGGUAACGGAGGCUUCCAAAGGUCUGCUCAGCACGCUUGGUACCGUGCGUAGAGUGCAAUAGCAUAAGCAGGCUUGACUGAGAGACUUACAAGUCGCACAGGUAGGAAACUAGGGUAUAGUGAUCCGGCGGUACCGCGUGGAAGGGCCGUCGCUCAAAGGAUAAAAGGUACUCCGGGGAUAACAGGCUGAUCUCCCCCAAGAGCUCAUAUCGACGGGGAGGUUUGGCACCUCGAUGUCGGCUCGUCACAUCCUGGGGCUGGAGAAGGUCCCAAGGGUUCGGCUGUUCGCCGAUUAAAGUGGCACGCGAGCUGGGUUCAGAACGUCGCGAGACAGUUCGGUCUCUAUCUAUUGCGGGCGUUAGACGUUUGAGAGGGGCUGGCCUUAGUACGAGAGGACCGGGUCGGACGAACCUCUGGUGCACCUGUUGUGACGCCAGUUGCAGCGCAGGGUAGCUAUGUUCGGAAGAGAUGAGUACUGAAAGCAUCUAAGUGCGAAACUCGCCUCAAGAUGAGACGUCUUUAUAAGGGUCCUGGGAGACGACCAGGUUGAUAGGGUGUAGGUGUAAGUGUAGAAAUAUACUCAGCCGAGCACUACUAAUUACCC
rnacentral:rRNA from 1 species